rnacentral:rRNA from 1 species
UACAGAGGGUGCAAGCGUUGUUCGGAAUUAUUGGGCGUAAAGGGUGCGUAGGCGGUGCGGUAAGUCUUUUGUGAAAUCUCCGGGCUCAACUCGGAGUCUGCAGGAGAAACUGCCGUGCUUGAGUAUGGGAGAGGUGAGUGGAAUUCCUGGUGUAGCGGUGAAAUGCGUAGAUAUCAGGAGGAACACCUGUGGCGAAAGCGGCAUACUGG